rnacentral:lncRNA from 1 species
CAGAUGUGAAGCUGUUGAGAGACAAUAAGAUCAUCUCGUUCACAGGUGAUAACUUGAUUGAUAAUUUUCAGUCAUAGGUAAGUCUACUAGGUGAGAAUACCAUUUGUUUGACGGCUCUAAAGCUAAUGACUUUUGUAUACAUUUGCUCUCAAUAACAGGGGAAGAGGAGGAUGAUGAGCUGUUCAAGGGAGUCGCUGCAGCCAUUGAUACAUUCGAUCAUAGGAAGGAUAAGGCAGUGAACGAGCAUUACAGUAGCCAUAGGAGGAUCAAGAUGGGGAAGAUGGUGAAGAAGUACGUCAAGGUUUCGUGGGCUGUCGCUAAGGUUAUGGCUGCUGUGUUGCUGCUGGUGAUGCUUGCUGUUCAGACUUUCUGUGAUGUUUACAACUGUAAAGGGAGCUCUACUGCUAUGGUGUUUGGUGGAUAGAAGUGUUUGAUUUUAAUGGUUCCUGAGUUCGUAAUGUGAUUGACAGAGUUGGGGAAUCAAAAUGUCUUCAAUUCAAGGUUUCAGAAUCUGCAGAGCAAAGCUGAGUGAUGAUAUACUGUGAACAUGGCGGAGAAAUUCCAUGAGCAAGCAACAAGAAACUUCUAGAGUGACAGUCCACGGCG